UGACCUUUCAGGCGUGCUGCAGCAAAAAAAGUUAAUUCACUUCGCACAUGUGGGGGAGCAACAGGUGGUAGCCAACCACGGGGGCUGCUGGCAUUCCUCCGUGUGCAAACCCCCGGCCCCUGGUACUCUGGGAUUUACACUACCUCCCCCAGGCCCUGAGUGACAAGCUAAUCGGUGCGCGGGGAAGCGCUGAGCUAUUGAUUCCGCUGUAACAGAACACCACCCCGUCGAUGAAACUGCAAUGAAAUGCUUCAGCAGCGAAGAAAGGGAGGCAUUGGACUGUUGAACAACUGCAGGAAAUUUGCUGUUGUCAUGACUGGAGUCACCAUGAACAUUCCUGUACAAAUCUUUGUGUGCCAUAUGUUGCCAUUUCUCUUGGAAAAAUGUCUAGGAAUGAAAUUGCAGAGUCAUAUGGUUUUUAUAUGCUAUUAAAAAAAUAAAGCGCAUACACCAAGCUCCAUGGGACGUAACGCAAGUGGAACCUGAAAUCAAGGCGAAAAACCAACAGUGACGAAUGUUUGCAAAAGCUCUCAGCAAAGGAAAUGAUUCAUUCAUUUUCCAGCCAACAAUCUCUAGUUGCUUCCUUACUGCUUAGCAGCAAACUCCUAGAGGCCAGUGUGAAUGAAAAAUACUGCAAACCAUGUCAGUAAACAAGGAAUGCUGAAGCCAUCAAGUCAUCAUUGGCUGCCCCCACCCCACAGUGAAGACAAGCCUGCAGCCCGGCCUCUGCAGCCACUCACCAUGGUGCACUCUGAGGGGACUCAGAAUAAGAAAGGACAGGUUACUGACCCCAGAGAGCUAGGGGCUUGUCAAAGGAAUGAAUUCAAUGAGCCCAAAUGUUUGCUUCCUCCCAUAUAUAAAAAAAGCGCUAAAUUCUUUAACUUGAGAUGCCUGGUUUUCUUUAGUUAACAAGUAAUCUUUUAAAUGUUCCAACUACCUGGUCUUUUGUUGUAAAACUCCAGUGUAUCCUAGCUGCUCUUCGGAGCAGUCCCUGAGCGAUCUGAGAGGCUGUCAUCUUGGGUUCGAAGGGGUUCGAGUCCUCAGAAAUGUCCACCAAAUAAAACAAAACUUUCAAUUUUU